AUUCCACGUGGAGCGGUGAAAUGCGUAAAAAUGUGGAGGAACACCAGAGGCGAAGGGGGCUUUUUGGUCUGUAACUGACGCUGAGGCGCGAAAGCGUGGGGAGCAAACAGGAUUAGAUACCCUGGUAGUCCACGCCGUAAACGAUGAGUGCUAAGUGUUAGAGGAUUUCCGCCCUUUACUGCUGCAGCUAACGCAUUAAGCACUCCGCCUGGGGAGUACGGUCGCAAGACUGAAACUCAAAGGAAUUGACGGGGGCCCGCACACGCGGUGGAGCAUGUGGUUUAAUUCGAAGCAACGCGAAGAACCUUACCAGGUCUUGACAUCCUCUGACAACUCUAGCAAUAAUGUGUUUCCUUUUGGGG
rnacentral:rRNA from 2 species